AACGAACGCUGGCGGCAUGCCUAACACAUGCAAGUCGAACGAGCCCUUCGGGUCUAGUGUCGCACGGGUUCGUAACGCGUGGGAACCUGCCCUUAGGUUCGGAAUAACUCCCCGAAAGGGGUGCUAAUACCGGAUAAUGUCUUCGGCCCAAAGAUUUAUCGCCUUUGGAUGGGCCCGCGUUGGAUUAGCUAGUUGGUAGGGUAAAAGCCUACCAAGGCGACGAUCCAUAGCUGGUCUGAGAGGAUGAUCAGCCACACUGGGACUGAGACACGGCCCAGACUCCUACGGGAGGCAGCAGUGGGGAAUAUUGGACAAUGGGGGAAAGCCUGAUCCAGCAAUGCCGCGUGAGUGAUGAAGGCAUGAGGGUUGUAAAGCGCUUGUACCCGGGAUGAUAAUGACAGUACCGGGAGAAUAAGCUACGGCUAACUCCGUG
rnacentral:rRNA from 1 species